rnacentral:rRNA from 1 species
GUGUCAGCAGCCGCGGUAAUACGUAGGGGGCAAGCGUUGUCCGGAUUUAUUGGGCGUAAAGAGCUCGUAGGCGGCUAUUCGCGUCGGAUGUGAAAGCUCAAGGCUCAACCUUGAGAGGCCAUUCGAUACGGGAUAGCUAGAGGUAGGUAGGGGAGAUCGGAAUUCCUGGUGUAGCGGUGAAAUGCGCAGAUAUCAGGAGGAACACCGAUGGCGAAGGCAGAUCUCUGGGCCUUACCUGACGCUGAGGAGCGAAAGCUGGGGGAGCGAACAGGAUUAGAUACCCUCGUAGUCC